rnacentral:rRNA from 1 species
UCUUGACGGUACCUAAUCAGAAAGCCACGGCUAACUACGUGCCAGCAGCCGCGGUAAUACGUAGGUGGCAAGCGUUAUCCGGACUUAUUGGGCGUAAAGCGCGCGUAGGCGGUUUUUUAAGUCUGAUGUGAAAGCCCACGGCUCAACCGUGGAGGGUCAUUGGAAACUGGAAAACUUGAGUGCAGAAGAGGAAAGUGGAAUUCCA